rnacentral:rRNA from 1 species
GGUUAAGCGACUAAGCGUACACGGUGGAUGCCCUGGCAGUCAGAGGCGAUGAAGGACGUGCUAAUCUGCGAAAAGCGCCGGCGAGGUGAUAUGAACCCUUGACCCGGCGAUGUCCGAAUGGGGAAACCCAGUGUGUUCCGACACACUAUCGUUAACUGAAUACAUAGGUUAACGAGGCGAACCGGGGGAACUGAAACAUCUAAGUACCCCGAGGAAAAGAAAUCAACCGAGAUUCCCCCAGUAGCGGCGAGCGAACGGGGAGCAGCCCGGAGUCUGAAUCAGCUUGUGUGUUAGUGGAACGGUCUGGAAAGUCCGACGGUACAGGGUGAUAGUCCCGUACACGAAAAUGCACAUGCUGUGAACUCGAAGAGUAGGGCGGGACACGUGGUAUCCUGUCUGAAUAUGGGGGGACCAUCCUCCAAGGCUAAAUACUCCUGACUGACCGAUAGUGAACCAGUACCGUGAGGGAAAGGCGAAAAGAACCCCGGCGAGGGGAGUGAAAAAGAACCUGAAACCGUGUACGUACAAGCAGUGGGAGCACCUUCGGGUGUGACUGCGUACCUUUUGUAUAAUGGGUCAGCGACUUAUAUUCUGUAGCAAGGUUAACCGUAUAGGGGAGCCGAAGGGAAACCGAGUCUUAACUGGGCGUUAAGUUGCAGGGUAUAGACCCGAAACCCGGUGAUCUAGCCAUGGGCAGGUUGAAGGUUGGGUAACACUAACUGGAGGACCGAACCGACUAAUGUUGAAAAAUUAGCGGAUGACCUGUGGCUGGGGGUGAAAGGCCAAUCAAACCGGGAGAUAGCUGGUUCUCCCCGAAAGCUAUUUAGGUAGCGCCUCGUGAAUUCAUCUUCGGGGGUAGAGCACUGUUUCGGCUAGGGGGCCAUCCCGGCUUACCAACCCGAUGCAAACUACGAAUACCGAAGAAUGUUAUCACGGGAGACACACGGCGGGUGCUAACGUCCGUCGUGAAGAGGGAAACAACCCAGACCGCCAGCUAAGGUCCCAAAGUCAUGGUUAAGUGGGAAACGAUGUGGGAAGGCACAGACAGCCAGGAUGUUGGCUUAGAAGCAGCCAUCAUUUAAAGAAAGCGUAAUAGCUCACUGGUCGAGUCGGCCUGCGCGGAAGAUGUAACGGGGCUAAACCAUGCACCGAAGCUGCGGCAGCGACACUUAUGUGUUGUUGGGUAGGGGAGCGUUCUGUAAGCCGUUGAAGGUGUGCUGUGAGGCAUGCUGGAGGUAUCAGAAGUGCGAAUGCUGACAUAAGUAACGAUAAAGCGGGUGAAAAGCCCGCUCGCCGGAAGACCAAGGGUUCCUGUCCAACGUUAAUCGGGGCAGGGUGAGUCGACCCCUAAGGCGAGGCCGAAAGGCGUAGUCGAUGGGAAACAGGUUAAUAUUCCUGUACUUGGUGUUACUGCGAAGGGGGGACGGAGAAGGCUAUGUCAGCCGGGCGACGGUUGUCCCGGUUUAAGCAUGUAGGCGGAGGUUCCAGGUAAAUCCGGUACCUUAUUAACGCUGAGGUGUGAUGACGAGGCACUACGGUGCUGAAGUGAUAAAUGCCCUGCUUCCAGGAAAAGCCUCUAAGCAUCAGGUAACACGAAAUCGUACCCCAAACCGACACAGGUGGUCAGGUAGAGAAUACCAAGGCGCUUGAGAGAACUCGGGUGAAGGAACUAGGCAAAAUGGUGCCGUAACUUCGGGAGAAGGCACGCUGAUAGGUAGGUGAAGCCCCUGCGGGCGGAGCUGAAAUCAGUCGAAGAUACCAGCUGGCUGCAACUGUUUAUUAAAAACACAGCACUGUGCAAACACGAAAGUGGACGUAUACGGUGUGACGCCUGCCCGGUGCCGGAAGGUUAAUUGAUGGGGUUAGCGGCAACGCGAAGCUCUUGAUCGAAGCCCCGGUAAACGGCGGCCGUAACUAUAACGGUCCUAAGGUAGCGAAAUUCCUUGUCGGGUAAGUUCCGACCUGCACGAAUGGCGUAAUGAUGGCCAGGCUGUCUCCACCCGAGACUCAGUGAAAUUGAACUCGCUGUGAAGAUGCAGUGUACCCGCGGCAAGACGGAAAGACCCCGUGAACCUUUACUAUAGCUUGACACUGAACACUGGUCCUUGAUGUGUAGGAUAGGUGGGAGGCUUUGAAGCGUGGACGCCAGUCUGCGUGGAGCCAUCCUUGAAAUACCACCCUUUAAUGGCUGGUGUUCUAACGUAGACCCGUGAUCCGGGUUGCGGACAGUGUCUGGUGGGUAGUUUGACUGGGGCGGUCUCCUCCCAAAGAGUAACGGAGGAGCACGAAGGUUGGCUAAUCCUGGUCGGACAUCAGGAGGUUAGUGCAAUGGCAUAAGCCAGCUUGACUGCGAGCGUGACGGCGCGAGCAGGUGCGAAAGCAGGUCAUAGUGAUCCGGUGGUUCUGAAUGGAAGGGCCAUCGCUCAACGGAUAAAAGGUACUCCGGGGAUAACAGGCUGAUACCGCCCAAGAGUUCAUAUCGACGGCGGUGUUUGGCACCUCGAUGUCGGCUCAUCACAUCCUGGGGCUGAAGUAGGUCCCAAGGGUAUGGCUGUUCGCCAUUUAAAGUGGUACGCGAGCUGGGUUUAGAACGUCGUGAGACAGUUCGGUCCCUAUCUGCCGUGGGCGCUGGAGAAUUGAGGGGGGCUGCUCCUAGUACGAGAGGACCGGAGUGGACGCAUCACUGGUGUUCGGGUUGUCAUGCCAAUGGCACUGCCCGGUAGCUAAAUGCGGAAGAGAUAAGUGCUGAAAGCAUCUAAGCACGAAACUUGCCCCGAGAUGAGUUCUCCCUGAGACUUUAAGUCUCCUGAAGGAACGUUGAAGACGACGACGUUGAUAGGUCGGGUGUGUAAGCGCAGCGAUGCGUUGAGCUAACCGAUACUAAUGAACCGUGAGGCUUAACCUU